CGGGUGAGUAACACGUGAGUGACCUGCCUUUUAGACUGGAACAACUUACCGAAAGGUGAGCUAAUGCCGGAUGAGUUAUAUAAGUGCAUGUUUAUAUAGGAAAAGUUGGGGAGACCUGACGCUGAAAGAUGGACUCGCGUCCCAUUAGCUAGUUGGUAGGGUAAUGGCCUACCGAGGCGACGAUGGGUAGCCGGCCUGAGAGGGUGGCCGGCCACACUGGGACUGAGACACGGCCCAGACUCCUACGGGAGGCAGCAG
rnacentral:rRNA from 1 species